rnacentral:sRNA from 1 species
ACCAGUGCAGGCACCCUUAGGUCAGACGCUCCUCUCUUUUCAGCCAGCCCCACUGCCAAAUCGUUGUCAACCCCCAGUCGGCCUUGGGUUAAGAAUGAGGAGGUGGAGAACGGCACGUGCAGCCUUAAGGGUUCCUUCUCCGAUUUAGGUUUCUUCCACUCCUUUGCCCUGGGAGAGCAAAGGGGCGGAGGGAAAUCAAAAACCGGUUGAAAAAGAAAAAAGUAUCUUCCCUCAGGCGUGGGUCAGAGAAUUUGGAAAGGCCUACUCUGAGGGGAGUAAAACUUCACCAGGCCCUGGGCUGGAAGCACAGGAGGUCGCGGCUGGGCCCAGCGCCCUCGGGAGGCCAAGGGCAGGGAGCCGACCCAAGGUCUAAGCCCUCCAGCUCUCCGUCGCGGGUUUGGGUCCCGUCUCAAGAGUGGGGCGCGCGGGCUGGGCCUCUGGCCUGACACCCUCUCUUCUCUCCAUCAGUGAGCGACAGCUCCCCCUACCACAGCCCCAAGGUGGAGGAGUGGAGCAGCCUGGGCCGCAACAACUUCCCCGCCGCCGCCCCGCACGCGGUGAACGGGUUGGAGAAGGGAGCCCUGGAGCAGGAAGCCAAGUACGGUCAGAUCCAAAACUUUUUCUUGCUUAUGAUAUCGAGGUUGAAAUUCUAGGUGAAGCACAUCUCUAUUUGUGGCUAAAUCUACUUUAUUAUAAAGCCAAGGUAGAAGAUAGUUUGCUAUAGAGAGCACCCUUGCACAGUUCUUUCAGGGGAAAGAAUUCUCAUGCCUUUCAUGGAAGAUCCACAUGAGAAAGGAGUUGAUGGAUUGAAGUCUUAUUUAUGGAAUCUUUAGGCACCAAAUGGUCUCCCAGCUGUGGGCAGUUUUGUGUCAGCAUCCAGCAUGGCUCCUUACCCUACCCCAGCCCAAGUGUCGCCUUACAUGACCUACAGCGCUGCUCCUUCUGGUUAUGUUGCUGGACAUGGGUGGCAACAUGCUGGGGGCACCUCAUU